CAAAUAUCUUCUUACAACAAACAAACAAACAAACCUCUCCUUCCACUCUCAUCAGUCAACAACAUAAUUUUCUCUCUUCACUCUAAGUCUAAGCCAAGGAUGAAGAAAUUCUUCCCUGUUGUCUAGAGACAAAGCUAGUUCUUCGAAUACGGAUAUUGCUCCCAACUCGACCAAUGAGGGUGUUAAAGUUGUUGAUUAUAAAUUGUUGGAAACGGAUCCAGGAAUUAGGCCUCCAAUUUCAAGCUAUCAUCAUGACAUCCAAGAUGAGGUACGUAAAGCUUACUUGAAAAUUCGUCGUCAUCAACCUCUUAGCAACUUUGUUUAUCCUUAGUCUGAUUUUCGUGGAACAAGACGUCGAUUUAACGUGUUUUUUCAGCUAUGAAGAUUGUGAAGAGUCAUUUACGUAACAAAAUGGGUGAUCAAUGGUUAAAUGAUCGGCUUGUAACUUUUAUUGAAAGAGAUGUUCUUUUCACAAUUAGCACUGAUGUUAUUCUAGCUCAUUUUCAACAAAUGGAUGGCAGACGAUUUUCAUUGUAAUUUAACAAAUGUAUGGUUAAAUGUUUAUAUAUUAUUUUUA